UUAAAAAACAAAGUGAAAUUAUUUAUUUCCAAAUUAUCUCUAUAUAUUAGUGUGAGCUUAAUAUUGAUGUAUCGCUAAUGUAGAAAUAAUAUAAUAGUGUUAUGAUUGAUAAGCGCCAAUAAUGAAGAUAUCAGCGAUACAUUAAUAUUUAAUCAAUUAAAUUUGAUUGUAAAAUUUGAUUUCAACAAUUCUAAAAGAUCAAAUUAAAAAUUAUAAUAUGUUAAAAAUUGAGAACUAAAAUAUCACAUAUUUUAUAGUUUUUGAGAACCAAAUGUUGGCUUAAAUGGGCUAACAUCCUCUCCUGUGGCAGGAGGCCAUAUGUGGGUCUAGUCAUCUUCGAAGUAGCGUGAGGCUGGUCGGGCCAAAUCAUGUUUGAAGUGGCGUCAUAGUUAGUUAAUUCGCGAUUAAUACGCGAAUUAUUCGCGAAUUUUUAAAUAUACGAUUUAAACGGUCCGUUCCCGUAUUUUUUUGAAAUUUUUGAAAAAAAACGCGUCUUCUUCCUCAAAAUAAUUAUUCGCGAAUUAUUUGCGAUUCGCGAACGAUUCGCCCAAAAAAACGGGCGCUUGUGGUCGCAGAUUUGCAGCCGAGGGUCGCGUUGUCGCCGCUCUCGUCACCGAGCUCGUCCGAGUCGUCGUCGUCGUCCUCCGCCGCCCUGGUCGGCGCCGGGAGCAAGAGCCGUGGCGGCAGAUCCGGCCUCGUCGUCGUCCUCCUCCACCUCCAUGCCCGGCGCCGGGAGCAAGAGCAGCUGCGGCAGAUCCGCCCAAGGCCGUCAGCGGAAAAGACGAAGUGGGAUUGUAGGUAACAGUGUAAAAAUCGCGGCGUUUUGAGUUAUGC
rnacentral:lncRNA from 1 species